GUCCGAUUCAUCUAAAAAUUUCAGAGCAGAUAAAUGUUGACCUGAUAAACAAUUUUACCCAUGUCAGAUUUGCUCUUAAUGCUUUGGGUUUUGAGUUAUAAGCCAAAAACUGCAUUUUACCCCAUGUUCUAUUUUUAGCCAUGGCGGCCAUCUUGGUUGGAUGGCCGGGUCACCGGACACAUUUUUCAAACUACUAACCCAAAAGAUGAUUGUGGCCAAGUUUGGAUUAAUUUGGCCCAGUAGUUUCAGAGGAGAAGAUUUUUGUAAAAGAUUACUAAGAUUUACGAAAAAUGGUUAAAAAUUGACUAUAAAGGGCAAUAACUCCUAAAGGGAUCAACUGACCAUUUCAGUCAUGUUGACUUAUUUGUAAAUCUUACUUUGGUGAACAUUAUUGCUGUUUAUAGUUUAUCUCUAUCUAUAAUAAUAUUCAAG
rnacentral:lncRNA from 1 species